rnacentral:tRNA from 8 species
GCCCGGAUGGCGGAAUUGGUAGACGCAACGGACUUAAAAUCCGUCGGCCUCACAGCCGUGCCGGUUCGACCCCGGCUCCGGGCACCA